AGUCAAGUAAUUAAGUGCAUGUGGUGGAUGCCUUGGCAGUCAGAGGCGAUGAAAGACGUGAUAGCCUGCGAAAAGCUCCGGGGAGGCGGCAAAUAUCCUUUGAUCCGGAGAUGUCUGAAUGGGGGAACCCACCUACUUUAAGGUAGGUAUUGCAACAUGAAUACAUAGUGUUGCAAGGCGAACGAGGGGAAGUGAAACAUCUCAGUACCCUUAGGAAAAGAAAUCAAUUGAGAUUCCCUCAGUAGCGGCGAGCGAACGGGGAUCAGCCCAUUAAGUUAUGUGUGUUUUAGUGGAACGCUCUGGGAAGUGCGAACGUAGAGGGUGAUAUUCCCGUACACGAAAGGGCACACAUAAUGAUGACGAGUAGGGCGAGGCACGUGAAACCUUGUCUGAAUAUGGGGGGACCAUCCUCCAAGGCUAAAUACUCCUGACUGACCGAUAGUGAACCAGUACCGUGAGGGAAAGGCGAAAAGAACCCCUGUGAGGGGAGUGAAAUAGAUCCUGAAACCGCAUGCAUACAAGCAGUGGGAGCACCUUCGUGGUGUGACUGCGUACCUUUUGUAUAAUGGGUCAGCGACUUAUAUUCAGUAGCGAGGUUAACCGUAUAGGGGAGCCGUAGAGAAAUCGAGUCUUAAUAGGGCGUUUAGUUGCUGGGUAUAGACCCGAAACCAGGCGAUCUAUCCAUGAGCAGGUUGAAGGUUGGGUAACACUAACUGGAGGACCGAACCCA
rnacentral:rRNA from 1 species